rnacentral:rRNA from 1 species
UACGGAGGAUUCAAGCGUUAUCCGGAUUUAUUGGGUUUAAAGGGUGCGUAGGCGGUCGGAUAAGUUAGAGGUGAAAUCCCGAGGCUCAACUUCGGAAUUGCUUCUGAUACUGUUCGGCUAGAGAGUAGUUGCGGUAGGCGGAAUGUAUGGUGUAGCGGUGAAAUGCUUAGAGAUCAUACAGAACACCGAUUGCGAAGGCAGCUUACCAAGCUACUUCUGACGUUGAGGCACGAAAGCGUGGGGAGCAAACAGG